rnacentral:rRNA from 1 species
GACGAACGCUGGCGGCGCGCUUAACACAUGCAAGUCGAACGGAAAGGCCCUGCUUUUGUGGGGUGCUCGAGUGGCGAACGGGUGAGUAACACGUGAGUAACCUGCCCUUGACUUUGGGAUAACUUCAGGAAACUGGGGCUAAUACCGGAUAGGAGCUCCUGCUGCAUGGUGGGGGUUGGAAAGUUUCGGCGGUUGGGGAUGGACUCGCGGCUUAUCAGCUUGUUGGUGGGGUAGUGGCUUACCAAGGCUUUGACGGGUAGCCGGCCUGAGAGGGUGACCGGCCACAUUGGGACUGAGAUACGGCCCAGACUCCUACGGGAGGCAGCAGUGGGGAAUAUUGCACAAUGGGCGGAAGCCUGAUGCAGCAACGCCGCGUGCGGGAUGACGGCCUUCGGGUUGUAAACCGCUUUCGCCUGUGACGAAGCGUGAGUGACGGUAAUGGGUAAAGAAGCACCGGCUAACUACGUGCCAGCAGCCGCGGUGAUACGUAGGGUGCGAGCGUUGUCCGGAUUUAUUGGGCGUAAAGGGCUCGUAGGUGGUUGAUCGCGUCGGAAGUGUAAUCUUGGGGCUUAACCCUGAGCGUGCUUUCGAUACGGGUUGACUUGAGGAAGGUAGGGGAGAAUGGAAUUCCUGGUGGAGCGGUGGAAUGCGCAGAUAUCAGGAGGAACACCAGUGGCGAAGGCGGUUCUCUGGGCCUUUCCUGACGCUGAGGAGCGAAAGCGUGGGGAGCGAACAGGCUUAGAUACCCUGGUAGUCCACGCUGUAAACGGUGGGUACUAGGUGUGGGGUCCAUUCCACGGGUUCCGUGCCGUAGCUAACGCUUUAAGUACCCCGCCUGGGGAGUACGGCCGCAAGGCUAAAACUCAAAGGAAUUGACGGGGCCCCGCACAAGCGGCGGAGCAUGCGGAUUAAUUCGAUGCAACGCGUAGAACCUUACCUGGGUUUGACAUGGAUCGGGAGUGCUCAGAGAUGGGUGUGCCUCUUUUGGGGUCGGUUCACAGGUGGUGCAUGGCUGUCGUCAGCUCGUGUCGUGAGAUGUUGGGUUAAGUCCCGCAACGAGCGCAACCCUUGUUCACUGUUGCCAGCACGUUAUGGUGGGGACUCAGUGGAGACCGCCGGGGUCAACUCGGAGGAAGGUGGGGAUGACGUCAAGUCACCAUGCCCCUUAUGUCCAGGGCUUCACGCAUGCUACAAUGGCUGGUACAGAGAGUGGCGAGCCUGUGAGGGUGAGCGAAUCUCGGAAAGCCGGUCUCAGUUCGGAUUGGGGUCUGCAACUCGACCUCAUGAAGUCGGAGUCGCUAGUAAUCGCAGAUCAGCAACGCUGCGGUGAAUACGUUCCCGGG